rnacentral:lncRNA from 1 species
AAAGCUAAAUGAAGGAUGGUCACAGCAAGAUUUUUUUUUUCUAUGGCAGUCACAGCCUUGGGAUCUCAGAAGAACAUCAUGAAGGUUCAGACAUUGGGCAGCUUGCCAAACCCAUGGGAAAACAAUUGCCAGCUUUUCCACUUGGUUAGGGGAUCCACCCUUGCAUCUUCUGCGUGCAUCCAAAUGCAGAGCCUAGGCUACAACAGAAAAUGUUCCAAGAUUAAAGGUCUUCUGUGGAAGGUGUGA